GACGAACGCUGGCGGCGUGCCUAAUACAUGCAAGUCGAGCGGACCAAACAGGAGCUUGCUCUUGUUUGGUUAGCGGCGGACGGGUGAGUAACACGUGGGUAACCUGCCCGUAAGACCGGGAUAACUCCGGGAAACCGGAGCUAAUACCGGAUAACACCGAAGACCGCAUGGUCUUUGGUUGAAAGGCGGCUUCGGCUGCCACUUACGGAUCGGCCCGCGGCGCAUGAGCUAGUGGGUGAGGUAACGGCUCACCAAGGCGACGAUGCGUAGCCGGCCUGAGGGGGUGACCGGCCACACUGGGACUGAGACACGGCCCAGACUCCUACGGGAGGCAGCAGUAGGGAAUCUUCCGCAAUGGACGAAAGUCUGACGGAGCGACGCCGCGUGAGCGAAGAAGGUCUUCGGAUCGUAAAGCUCUGUUGUUAGGGAAGAAGAAGCGCCGUUCGAACAGGGCGGCGCGGUGACGGUACCUAACGAGAAAGCCCCGGCUAACUACGUG
rnacentral:rRNA from 1 species